UGUGGCAUAGUGGGCUAAGCUUCCGCCUGUCCUGCUGGCAUCCUAUAUGGAUGCUGGUUCUAGUCCUGGCUGCUCCUCUUCCCAUCCAGCUCUCUGCUAUGGCCUGCAAAAGCAGUAGAAGAUGGCCCAAGUCCUUGGGCCCCUGCAUGGGAGACCCUGAAGAAGCUCCUGGCUCCUGGCUUCAGAUCUGCCCAGCCCCAGCCAUUGCGGCCAUUUGGGGAGUGAACCAGUGAAUGGAAGACCUUUCUAUCUCUCCCAUCCCCACCCCAUAACUCUGCCUCUCAAAUAAGUAGAGUCAUAAAAAUAAUAAAAGGAGAGGGGAGAAACACCCCAAAGGGAGGUCUUGUUUUUGUCUUUUUUUUUUUUCAUUUUUUAUAAAAAGCUUUUCUGAGGGAUAAUUACUGUACAAAUAAAGUACAUAUUUCAGGAUAGGUGUUUGACCUCACAGUUAGAUCAUUACUUGAGACAUCGGCAUCCCACACUGGAGUUUCUGGGUUUGAGCAUGGGUUCCACUCCACUCUUGAUUCCAGCUUCCUGCUAAUUUGUACCCUCAGAGGCAGCAGAUACCUGGGUCCCCCUGCCUCCCACAUAGGAAACCAAGAUUGAGUUCCCGGCUCCCAGCUUCACCAUGGCCCAGCGCUGGUCAUCGUGGACAUUUGGAGAGUGAACCAGUGGAUGGGAGAGCUCUAUUUACCUACCUACCUACCUCUGUCUCUAUCUCUCUGCCUCUCAGAGAUAAUAGAGUACCAAUGACGAGAAGAAAUGUUCUUGCAAAGGGGAUGUGGAAGUUUUUGUUUUAUAUAUACAGGCUGCACAAUGUUUCAAUCAGUAACUGGUGAGGGUGGUCUCAUAAGGGUGCAUCACAUGGUGACGUUGUCAUCCAAGUUUGUAUGAUUACACUUUAUGACGCAUUUUUCGGAACUUGUCCUCAUUAAGCAGCAUAUGAUUGUAUUUUGUUUUCUUGUAGGAGGAGAAAGGACUUUAAAUAGUUUCAGGUAUGUUGAGUUGAAAUGAUGGUGAAGCCCGAAUGUGAAAACUUUUGAUGGAUAAUUAGUACUACUUAUAUACAUAUAGAACUUAAUAUACAUAUAAGACUCAUUUUGAAUAGAGAUUUGAGCAAAACAAACACAAAACUUCAUUCUAGUUCUAGGUCUUGUCCUACGCCUCAAAGAUGCAUUGAGGAACACCAGCUUCUGCUCUCAGGGGCCGGAGUUCAUAAGAGGAAAGAGGCCUCUAUCCAGGGAGCCACAGCACAGUGGAUUAAUCCUCUGCCUGCGGUGCUGGCAUCCCAUUGGGCCCCUGCCAGCCACGUGGGAGGUCCAGCUUUGCAUCGAUUGUGAAGUAAUUCUGUCCACCUCUCUGUGGAGACAGCCAGAUGGCCCUCGUGACCAGGUUGGAACCCUAGAUUGCAGUAAACAACUAAUCCUGCCAUCCUGUCUCGUUCGUUUUCCCCCAUACUGUAAGGCUUCUCCUUCAGUAGAAAUGAAUCCCAUGUACCUUAAAAGAUUGCCCCAGGGCAAACAACAUAUGGAAAGGAAAACUGGCUUAUUGCCACGAAAAACACGAACUCAGCAGAUUUGCCUUUCCUCCUAAGUUUAACCCAAUGAAGAAAAGUGCUUACAUCACCAAAGCUUCAGAGACCCCAGGGAAAUUGCUGACAGCUGAUUUCUCAAUCACUCCUCAGAGCGCAGUAGAGGGCAAAUGCUUCAAGUUGUAGGAACCUUGUGGUCACACAUUUGCAAAGAUGCUUAAAAACAUAAAAUGCAAUAAAGAGGUUCAUUCAUGUGUUUAGGAUCACUAUGCUCUCACUUCAAGUUUGAAACAGCCUCACUCAUUUGGAAGAAUACCUUGGAGGCAGAACAAUUCAGCUUACGUAAAAGUAAAUUAUGAGAAUAAACUCAGACCAAACAAUGUGGUGACUUUCCAGAAUCCAAGUACGGGCACAGCAACACCCAUCCUCAGCUGAGAACGUGUCUGUCCACCAGCUCUCUCUCUCCUAGACCCAACUCCUUUUGGAAUUUCACAGCCAAGCAAGUAGACAACUGGAGAGAAUGUUGUCUUUUGGUACCAGUGUGCCCGGAGUAAAGGGGGAAAAUGUUUCCCCUCGGAUCCUAAUUUCAAUAGCCCUUUGUGUUCUGUGGAUAUCCCUCUAACAUUGGAUGGUAAGGGUGCACAAUACACAAUUGACUAGGUCCACUAGAAUAAAUUGUUUAGGUUUCGGGAAAAUGUUUAGUUUGGCAAUAUCUUAUUCUGUGUAUCCUGAAAUGUAUUUUCAAAAAUAUGACUUUAGUUUCUGGGAAUUAAGCGCAUACUUACACGCAACACAAAUUAGCACUGUAUGAAGUAACUUAGAUUGACAUAACUGGUCUACACGCUCUGCACUUUUCUCAUACUUAGAAAGAAAUCCUUUGUAACAGCCCACGUGCCCAGUGUGGUCUGGUCUUGCCUUCUCCAAAUCCACUUUACUCCUUGCCCAAUAACCACACUGGCCUCAUGUUCAGUGUCUCAAACACUUGAGACUUUUCUCUUGACUAGGCCUUGGCACAUGCUGGUCCCUCGAUCUGGAAUGCUUUUCCCCAACUUCUUUCUGUGCUGGCUGCUUCCGAGGUCUUAGAUCCUGAUGUAAAAGUCAAUUUCCUGGAAAGGCCUUCUUUGAAUACCUGUUUCCUUCUCUCCCAUUUAUUUCCAAAGUAGCACCCAGUUUUUCCUUUUCAUAGGACUCAACUAUUUUCCUGUUACUUGUUUGUUCAUUGUCUUUCUUAUUAGGAUCCAAGCACCUGAAGUCAGGCACUACAUGUAGCUGAUUCACUACUGAGUCCCCAGAACCUGUACAGUUUUUAGACGCCACUGCUCUGUGAAUUCUGUGAGAGCUUCCGAUAGCGCCGUGUAAGGUGUAUAAGGUAAGCAGGACCUGGGUGGCCUGAAAGCUGUGCACUUGCAAUAUCUCUGCUGCAGGAGUCGGGAGACUGGGGAGCAGUUUGGGGAGAGAAGCGGACCAGCUAGGAGGAUGCGGUGGAGCUGUUUGAGACCGUGGAUGUGGAACCUGCAGGAAUGGAGGGCUCACCAAAUGGAAUUUAAGGCUCCUGGGAGUGGAGGUGGCCAGGGAAAUUGCUGGGGACAGCUGCUGAGCCACAGAGGUCAGAGAGCGAGGAUGGUGACAGAAGUGUGGAAUGGCCACGUGAAGGACAAUGGACAGGAAGUUUUCUAAAGUUAAGUUUAAAGGGAUGGAAAUGAGCCCUACAUCCCACUUUAAAACAAUGCUACACACAAGAGUAUUCUUUUUUAAAAAGAUAUAAACAUGCUUCUUUUUAAAACUAUUUUUUUCCCUUCCUUCCUCCCUUCAUCCCUCCCUCCCUCCCUCUCUCUCUUCCUUCCUUCCUUCUUUCCUUCUUUCCUUCUUUCCUUGUUGCUAGGAAGAGAGAGUGAGAACUUCCAUCCACUGGUUCGUUCUCCAAAUACACGCAGCAGCCAGGGCUGUGCCAGGCUAAAACCAAGAGUCUAGAACUCCAUCUGUGUUUCCCACAUGGGUGGCAGGGACCCAAACAUUGAGCCUUUUGCUGCUCCUCUGAGUGCACAUUAGCUAGAAGCUUGAGUUGUAAGCAGAGUUGAGACUUGAACCCAGUCACUCUGAUAUAGGAUACAGGCAUCCCAGGGAGGGCUUUAUUUUAUUUACUUAUUUGAAAGGCAGAGUUAAAGGGAGAAGGAGAGUUGGGGAGGUGGGGAGGCAGGAGUCAGGAGCUUCUUCUGGGUCUCCCGCAUGGGUGCAGAGGCCCAAACACUUGGACAAUUUUCCACUCCUUUCCUAGGAGCAUUAGUGGGGAGCAGGAUCCAAAGUGGAACAGCCAGGACUGGAACCUGUACUCAUAUGGCAUGCUGGCCUCAUAGGCACUGGCUUAACCCACUUUGCCACAACAUUGGCCUCCCAAAUUGCAUGCUGUGCCAAACUAUGUGUCUGAGGAAUGUUUUUUUUUUUUUUAAGAUUAAUUUAUUUACCUGCAAAUCAGAGUUACAGACAGAGAGCGAGACAGAAAGGUCUUCCAUCUGCUGGUUCACUCCCCAAAUGGCCGCAGUAGUCAGAGCUGAGCUGAUCCGAAACCAGGAGCCAAGAGCUUUUUCUGGGUCUCCCACAGGGGUGCAGGGGCCCAAGGACUUGGGCCAUCUUCUACUGCUUUCCCAGACCAUCACCAAGGAGAUGGAUCAGUAGUGGAAUAGCCAGGACUAGAACCGGUGCCCAUAUGGGAUGUUGGUACCAUAGGCUGAUGCUUAAUCUACUAUGCCCCAGCACCGUGCCCCCCUCCCCCAGAAGUGUCCUUAAGUAGUCAAUGGGAUAGUGCAUUUGAAAUCAGGGUUGCACGUGAUUAUUUUGGACAAUAGCAUACUCAUAUAUGAAUUUAGAUAAUAACAGGUUUUAAAUACCCAGCAUAAUGUGUGUACCUUAUUAAAAUCUCAGGCAUAGUGUUAUUUACAAAAGCAGCAGGCAAUGCAUCCCACGAGGCAGCAUUUGUUUUUGUUUGUUUUUAAAGAUUUUAUUUAUUUAUUUGACAGAUAGAAUUACAGACAGUGAGAGAGAGAGACAGAGACAAAGGUCUUCCUUCCGUUGGUUCACUCCCCAAAUGGCUGGAGCUGCACCGACCCAAAGCCAGGAGCCAGGUGCUUCUUCCUGGUCUCCCAUGCAGGUGCAGGGGCCCAAGGAUUUGACCAUCUUCUACUGCUUUCCCAGGCCAUAGCAGAGAGCUGGAUUGGAAGAAGGGCUAUCAGGAUUAGAACCAGCACCCAUAUGGGAUGCUGGCGCCACAGGUGGAGGAUUAACCUAGUGUGCACAGUGCCGGCCCCAAGACAGCAUUUGUUAUAUCACCAAAUAGGAUGCCAGUAUCACUGGUCUGUGAGUAGACAAGGAUGAUGUAAACUCAAGAGUCAAGAUGUACUUGGAGCCCUAAAAGAUCCACCAGUGCACAAAUUCAGCAAGGCUAGACCCCUCCAGGGGGUCAUCACAAUAAAAGUGUACGGAUAUGUAUACAGGGCCAGCACUGUGGCAUAGCAGGUAGUCGUUGCCUGUAGUGCUGGCAUCCCCUAUGGGUGUUGGUUCAAGUUCCGGCUGCUCCAUUUCCAAUCCAGCUCCCUGUUAAUGGCCUGGGAAAGCAAUGGAAGAUGGCCCAAGUGUUUGGGCCCCUACACCUACGUGGGAGAAUCAAAAGAUCCAGGCUCCUGCUCCUGGCUUCAGAUCCAUUCAGCUCUGGCCAUUGUGGCCAUCUGGGGAGUGAACCAGGGCAUGGAAGACCUUUCUGUCUGUCUGUCUGUCUCUCUCUCUCUUUCUGACUAUGCCGCUCUGUAACUCUGAUUUUCAAAUAAAUAAAUCUUUUUUUAAAAAGGACCUGUAUACACCCAAAAUUAAUUUUUAGAUCUGAGGAAAAGAAAAUAGACAUGGCUGCAGGUGUCGACAAGGCAAGAAUUUGCUGUGUCUUUUGGGAGGACAUCAUCCACCGAGCUAAUGGCUCCUCCAAUAAUUCAUAUUAUUCCUGCAAGAGACUGCGGAUCCCUGAGAGUGUGGGUGGUGACGUCUACCCUCGAGACGUUGGUUCACUAGUGAGAGGAUUUAUUGGAUUUUCAAAUGCUUUCCUUUCUGUGAUUUUUCUGACCCAGAAAUAUGCUUUUUAUUUCAGCAGCUCUCUCAAAACAGCUGAAUAAAUGACAGGUCCCAAACAAUCACCGUUAACUAUAAAUCAAAAUGUUAUGUUUGCUCAGUUAUGCCAUGGUUCCUCAGUUUGUUCUCUGUCUAUCACCAGUGAAGUAGAAUCCACCACUAGAAUGAUGAUUAAAGGCAUUUUACCAAAAAUAUUUACUCUAUUCUGCGGCAAACACUUGUCAUCUCUAACUUAAGUUGAACAGCCCUUGUUUAACCCAACGUUACUCUGCCGCUACAUGAAAUAGAGGCAUCUGGAUUUUAUUUUCUUCUUCUCUUUCUAAUUAUAGCUUAAUUUAUCAACCACACAGUUUAAGAUGGUUAUUCCUAGUAGGUUUCUCCAUGACAAGACAUACUAGAAUUAUUCAUUUCAAAAAUUUUGUUGUUUUUAUUCUUUUGAAGGGUAAAUAUCAGUGUAAUUUUUCCAUGUGUAUUUAACUGUUCAUGGAAAAGUGCACUACCUUUUAUUUAUUUACUUUUUACAGAGAAACGAGAGAGAAAGAGGGCGGGGAGGGAGAGAGAGAGUUUUCCAUCUGCUGGUUCACUCUCCAAAUGCCCACAACAGCCAGGGCUGGGUUGAGACCAAAACCAGGAGCCCAGAACUCAGUGCAAAUCUCUUGUGUGGGUGGCAGGAACCUAGUCAGCUGAGCCAUCACCUGCUGCCUCCCAGGGUCUGCACUGCCAGGGAGCUAGAGUCAGGAUCUGGAGCCAGGAACUGAACCCAGUGUGGCACACAGGCAUCACAACCACUGAGCUAAAGGGCCACUCCUGGGCCGGCGCCGCGGCUCACUAGGCUAAUCCUCCGCCUAGCGGCGCCGGCACACCGGGUUCUAGUCCCAGUCGGGGCGCCGGAUUCUGUCCCGGUUGCCCCUCUUCCAGGCCAGCUCUCUGCUGUGGCCAGGGAGUGCAGUGGAGGAUGGCCCAGGUGCUUGGGCCCUGCACCCCAUGGGAGACCAGGAGAAGCACCUGGCUCCUGGCUCCUGCCAUCGGAUCAGCGCGGUGCGCCGGCCGCAGCACGCCGGCCGCGGCGGCCAUUGGAGGGUGAACCAACGGCAAAGGAAGACCUUUCUCUCUGUCUCUCUCUCUCACUGUCCACUCUGCCUGUCAAAAAAAAAAAAAAAAAAAUUAAAAAAAAUUAAAGGGCCACUCCUUCAUUAUCUUUUAAUUCUCUCCUUCCAUGGACCUUUGAAGUACUCUCAUAGCAGUUCCUGGUUUGCCAAAAUUAUGUCUCAUCCCCAACGUUCUUAGACUUUCCUAAAAAAAUCCCACAUUCUCAGCCACACACGGUCUUCUACAUGGCAGACUGCUGGUCAUGAGCUUGGGAACUGGGAGAGCCCAGUGGUUGUCAACUUUGCAUCACACAAGACUUCCCUUAGGUGCCUGUCUCAAAAGCAUCACAAAUAAACAUGUAAAGACACAUAUACAUCCAAAAUUAAUUUUUAGAUAAGAGGAAGAGAUAUAGACAUGGCCUCAGGAGUUGACAUGGCAAGAAUUUACCAUGUUUUUUUGGAGGACAUCAUCUACCCAGCUAGGGAGAAUCUAAGAGAUUCUGAUUGCAUAGUUCUAGGAUAGGACCUAGAAAUGUACAUUUUCUGAAAGCUUCCCUAAAUAAUUCUGAGCCCAUAGAGCACACACUAAACAACGCUAAGUUGCUCUAUGCCUUUCCAUCUGUAGGCAAGAAUGCUGAAGGUAGAAGGUGUGACUUGCCCAUGGUUAUCGGUGAUCUUACUGGUUAUCAUAAAUUGUGUUUCAAAAACAAUUCUUGACAUCUUUCUACUAACAUUCGGAAAAAAACAGAGUAGAAAACAUUGUUGUCUUCUUAGAAAACACUGAUAUCCUUGCCCAAGGAGGAAGGGAAGGGGGGUGGGCUGGAAAUUUGUGCAAGAAUGCAAACAACCCAUUUCUCCACCAAAAAAUAUGAGUCAAGUGUUGGCAUCAUUAGAAAGCAAUAGGAGCAGAUGUUUGGCCUAGUGGUUAACACACCAGCUGGGAUGUCCCCAACCCCAUUGGAGUACCCGGCUUCGUUCUUGGCUCUGGCUCCUAACUCCAGUUUCCUGCUAAUGUGGACCCCAGAGGGCAGCAAUGAUGGCUCAAGUAAUUGGGUUCCUGCCACCAAUGUGGGAGGCCCAGAUUGAGUUCCCGGCUCCCUGCUUCAGCCCUGCCACUGUUGUGGGUAUUGGGGGAGCAGUGAAAUCUCUCUCUCUCUCUUUUCUGUACCUUUCUGCCUCUCAAAUUUAAAGAUCAAAAAUAGAGGCCGGCGCCGUGGCUCACUUGGCUAGCCCUCCGCCUGGGGCGCCGGCAUCCCAUAUGGGUGCUGGUUCUAGCCCUGGUUGCUCCUCUUCCAGUCCAGCUCUCUGCUGUGGCCUGGGAAGGCAGUGGAGGAUGGCCCAAGUGCUUGGGCCCUGCACCCACAUGGGAGACCAGGAGAAGCACCCGGCUCCUGGCUUCAGAUCAGCGCAGCUCCAGCCGUAGUGGCCAUUUGGGGAGUGAACCAAUGGAAGGAAGACCUUUCUGUCUCUCACUGUCUAUAACUCUACUUGUCAAAUAAAUAAUAAAAAAAAUCAAAAAUAAAAAUAAAAAACCAAAAGCAAUAGCCAUAAAAGUUAUAUAAAAAUUUCGUGAAAAUUUUCGCUGAAAAUAUAAGUUUAGGGGCAAGCAUUUGGUUCGGCAGUUGGAAUGCCACUUGAGAUACCUGCAUCCCAUAUCAGAGUGCCUGGGUUCUAGUCUUAGCUCUAGGUCUGAUCCAGCUUCCUUCCAGUGUGUACCCCAGAGAAACAAAUGACAGCUCAACUGGUUGGGGUCCCUACCAUCCAUGUGGGAGAUUUGGAUGGGGUGCCAGGCUCCUGGUUUCAGCCUGGCCUAACCCUGGCUAUUGCAGGCUUUUGGAAAGUGAAUCAGCAGAUGGAAGAGCUCCCUUUCUCUCAUUCUUUUUCUCUGUUGUUCUUUUAAAUAAGGAAAUAAAUAAAACUUUAAAAAUAAAUACAAUGAAAGCACAAAAUUGCUCAAUGAAUAAAUAUUAUAAAAUUUGCCACAGAAUCUUGUAUAACAUUGUUUUGCUACAAAAAAAUUGAAAUCCAUGCAGAGUUUUUUCAUAAAAUGCAUUUUUCUGCUAACUUUUGAAGACCCCUUGUAUGGUGUUUUCACGUGGUCCUCUAACAAGAUCGGUGCACAGAAAGUGGGAACUGAGUAACUAAAUGAUUGCAUGGAGAGUAAAUGAACGUGGGAACAAUGAAUCUGCCCUCAGGCAGGGGACAGAGGGCCCAGACCAUGGUCUGACUGCCCCAGGGGGCUCAAGAAGUCCCAGGAGCCUGUGCUGGCUGAGGCUGGCUGGCAGGUAGCGGGCAUGAGGAUGCGCGUACUGAGAAGGGAAUCCUUCCGCGCUGAGUGCAGUCCUGUUCUGGCCCGUGCUUGCUCCUUGUGAGCAGGUGAGAAGUACUUGCCGGUCUCAGUAGUGUGGGUGUGCUAUCAGGUGACAAUUUGAUUGCUCAGGAAAGCGCUUCUCUUCCUCUCCUUUCUCCCUUGCCCCCAUUUGAAGCCGAGAAGGUGUCAGCGUGGGAGGUUUCACCCUGCCCUGGGCUGGGUGGCUUUUGCUGAUGAAGAGGGUCCUUCCGGGUGGCUUGGCUCCUUGAUCUAGCACGUUGUGCAUGUGCAGUUUCGCUUCUGGUCGAAACGUAAAAGCAACUGUACUCUGUCAGCCCUUCAUGCCGCGAGGUGACAGGAAGCUGGGUUUUAUUUGUUUUCCUCUUUGAAGUGAUUCAGCUGAGUGAGCAGACCUAAGAGUUUCAUUUUAACCAAAAGCUUUUGCUUAACCUCUUGGACAGUUACUUCACUGAGGACCUGUGGCCUGCUGGCCUUGGCUUCUGGAAAAUCGUCAGGGUUGCAAAAGAUGGAGAGGGAAGAAGCACACCAGUGACUCCAGAAAUCCAGUGUGGUCCCAUAUUUAUAAAACACAGCAGGCAUACCCAAAACAUGCCCCUUUAAGCACAUGGGGCUCAGGGCCCCCCUCCUAGCUUCAAUCCUAAUUUAGAUUCUGUACACCUGCAAACACAAAGCGCCUCUUGGAGUCUAUGAAAACGGCUGCAGGUGACACCAUGGCCCUCCAUGGCCUAUGAGAACGAAGCAGAGGACACUGAUAGGGCAGGGUGGAGACAGCUGCCCCCAAAUGGAAAGCACAGGACACAGCUGACCACAAAUCUGGUUUCUGUGUUCACACUUUAACUGUUGACUCCUUUGAUUUUUCAGACUGCACUUAAAGAUUCAUGAGAAGUGCAUUUCUGAAGCCGAGGUGCUUACAUUCUGAAGUCUAGGUAGAAUCGGAUCCAUUUCACAAAUCGGUGAAAUCUGGGUGUCUUGCACACUUUCCAUAUCAGCCCACUGAACGCAUUUAUGAAAAUAAUUGUGAUUUAGGGUUUGUAAUCUUUAAUUUCCUGUAAGUGAAACCAUAAGAAAUAGAAAGCAUUUCUUGGGUCACAGGGGUAGAGAGAAGAAAAGCACAAGUUCUCAUGUGUGUGCUAUGCUAACUUUAACCGUAAAGGGACGAUGAUGAUGCUGACAUUUAAAAAAGAAGAAAUGAACUAGGAACGGUAACUUCUUGUGUUAAGGACGCCAGCAACUUUCCUAAAUGCAUACCUGAGGGUGCCAUCCGACUCGUUGCCUAUCAAAAGCUCCCUGUGGCUUUCGGAGCCGAGCCUGCCCUCAUUAGCAGGGUAUAACAGGUCCUUUGCAGGAGCCACCUUUGCACCCUCAUCUGACUGCUCUUAUUUCAUUGCACUUAUUUAAUUGAGCUGAUAGACAUAUGAAUGCACAAGUAUUAGGGUUAUGAUUCAGCGAGUUUUGGACAAUGUCUAUGCCUGUGUGGUUGCCUCCCAAAGGAGAUGCAGACCAUUGCAUCACUCCAGAAAUUUCCCUUGGCUCCCUUCUAGGUGCUGAACAUGCCACACACUCUAACUUCCAUCUCCAGAGUCUGAGAGUUCCAGUUGUUCCACAGCCUCACCCACAUGGUGGUGUCAGGUUUUAAAAAUUGUAGUUUAGGCUGGUGCCGCAGCUCAAUAGGCUAAUCCUCCGCCUUGUGGUGCCGGGUUCUAAUCCCGGUCGGGGCACCGGAUCCUGUCCCAGUUGCCCCUCUUCCAGGCCAGCUCUCUGCUGUGGCCCGGGAGGGCAGUGGAGGAUGGCCCAACUGCUUGGGCCCUGCACCCACAUGGGAGACCAGGAGAAGCACCUGGCUCCUGGCUUCAGAUCAGCGCGGUGUGCUGGCCGCAGCAGCCA